CACAAUUACAUUCUUAUAGUCAGGAUUGUAAAGUUCGCUAUGAAAGUUGAUUAUUAAAAAAUAUCGAUAUGAAAUUGGUUUUAAUAUUAACGUUGAUAUUCGGCACCAAUAGUAUGGUAUUUUCACACCAAUACUAUGAAUCUGAACCCUUACUGGUAAAGCAAGCAAUAUGUUUCGUGAAUGGAGUUACGGUGGAUAUUUGUGAUGCGGGUGGUAAAGGUGUUGUAUUUACUACUAAAAUAGAGUUCUGUGCACCUCUUAUGAAUGCAGCAAUCAACAAAGCCUAUAUCACUAUACUUAAAGAGAAUAAGGAUGAUGAAGAUGUAGUUGGUAUUUCAUUUUCUGGAAGUUACGACAUCUCCAUAAAGUGGAUUGCUUUGUUUUCACUUGUUUCGGGCAUUUUUGCUUUUUCAAUUUGGAACUUUUGUAAUUCUAAUAAAAGAUUGGCACGACAUGCCUGAUUUAGUGACACUGACACUCGAUUAUUCAAGUUUUUUGUAUUAAUGUAAGUAUUUAAUUGAACCAAUUUUAUAUAGUUCUCCGUCUGUUCUUUUAUAUUUUUAGUCGAAUUUUGUAAAAAACACACUACAUAAGAGAAUGUUAUGGUCUGAAAAUCGUGAAUUUUUGUGAAAAAAAUGAAUUAAAAAUACUUUGUUCAAUGCAAAUAUAGAUAACA